CAGCGACUGGGCCGAGGCGUAGGUCAUUUCCGCUUCGCGGGCGGCGAAUUCGAGCCCGGUUUCCGAGUUGCCGGCC
rnacentral:tRNA from 1 species